rnacentral:rRNA from 1 species
AUACGAAGGGUGCAAGCGUUAAUCGGAAUUACUGGGCGUAAAGCGCGCGUAGGUGGUUCGUUAAGUUGGAUGUGAAAGCCCCGGGCUCAACCUGGGAACUGCAUCCAAAACUGGCGAGCUAGAGUAUAGCAGAGGGUGGUGGAAUUUCCUGUGUAGCGGUGAAAUGCGUAGAUAUAGGAAGGAACACCAGUGGCGAAGGCGACCACCUGGGCUAAUACUGACACUGAGGUGCGAAAGCGUGGGGAGCAAACAGGAUUAGAUCCCCUGGUAGUCCACGCCGUAAACGAUGUCGACUAGCCGUUGGGAUCCUUGAGAUCUUAGUGGCGCAGCUAACGCAUUAAGUCGACCGCCUGGGGAGUACGGCCGCAAGGUUAAAACUCAAAUGAAUUGGCGGGG